GGAGCUGUGGCUUAGUGGGUAAAGCUGCCGCCUGCAGUGCCGGCAUCCCAUAUGGGUGCCAGUUCUAGUCCUGGCUGCUCCA
rnacentral:tRNA from 1 species